GAUGAACGCUAGCGGCAGGCUUAAUACAUGCAAGUCGAACGGUAGAAGUCUCUUCGGAGGCUUUGAGAGUGGCGCACGGGUGCGUAACGCGUAUGCAACCUGCCUUCAGUUGGGGGAUAGCCCGGGGAAACCCGGAUUAAUACCGCAUAAUACAGGGGCCCCGCAUGGGGAUAUUUGUUAAAGAUUUAUCGACUGAAGAUGGGCAUGCGUCUGAUUAGCUAGUUGGUGAGGUAAUGGCUCACCAAGGCGACGAUCAGUAGGGGAUCUGAGAGGAUGGCCCCCCACACUGGUACUGAGAUACGGACCAGACUCCUACGGGAGGCAGCAGUAAGGAAUAUUGGACAAUGGGCGGAAGCCUGAUCCAGCCAUGCCGCGUGCAGGAAGACGGCCCUAUGGGUUGUAAACUGCUUUUGUAAGGGAAUAAUAAGGCGAACGAGUUUCGCUGAUGAAGGUACCUUACGAAUAAGCAUCGGCUAACUCCGUGCCAGCAGCCGCGGUAAUACGGAGGAUGCAAGCGUUAUCCGGAUUUAUUGGGUUUAAAGGGUGCGUAGGCGGCCUUUUAAGUCAGGGGUGAAAUGUUGCGGCUUAACCGCAGAAUUGCCUUUGAUACUGGGAGGCUUGAAUGAAGUUGAGGUAGGCGGAAUGUGGCAAGUAGCGGUGAAAUGCAUAGAGAUGCCACAGAACACCGAUUGCGAAGGCAGCUUACUAAGCUUUGAUUGACGCUGAGGCACGAAAGCGUGGGGAUCAAACAGGAUUAGAUACCCUGGUAGUCCACGCAGUAAACGAUGAGAACUAGCUGUUGGCGAUAGAAUGUCAGCGGCACAGCGAAAGCGUUAAGUUCUCCACCUGGGGAGUACGACCGCAAGGUUGAAACUCAAAGGAAUUGACGGGGGCCCGCACAAGCGGAGGAGCAUGUGGUUUAAUUCGAUGAUACGCGAGGAACCUUACCUGGGCUUGAAAGUGAGUGACCGGCGCUGAAAGGCGCCUUCCCUUCGGGGCACAAAACUAGGUGCUGCAUGGCUGUCGUCAGCUCGUGCCGUGAGGUGUUGGGUUAAGUCCCGCAACGAGCGCAACCCCUAUCAUCAGUUGCCAUCAGGUAAAGCUGGGGACUCUGGUGAGACUGCCUGCGCAAGCAGUGAGGAAGGCGGGGACGACGUCAAGUCAUCAUGGCCCUUACGUCCAGGGCUACACACGUGCUACAAUGGCAGCUACAGAGGGCCGCGACCGUGCAAACGGGAGCUAAUCUCAAAAAGGUUGUCACAGUUCGGAUUGAGGUCUGCAACUCGACCUCAUGAAGUUGGAUUCGCUAGUAAUCGCGUAUCAGCAAUGACGCGGUGAAUACGUUCCCGGGCCUUGUACUCACCGC
rnacentral:rRNA from 1 species